UACGUGAGGGGCGAACGUUGUUCGGUGUCACUGGGCUUAAAGGGUGCGUAGGUGGUUGCAUAAGUAAGGUGUGAAAGCCCUCGGCUUACCCGGGGAAUUGCGCCUUAUACUGCGUGACUUGAGGAUUUCAGGGGAAUGGGGAACUCCAGGUGUAGCGGUGAAAUGCGCAGAUAUCUGGGGGAAGGCCGGCGGCGAAGGCGCCAUUCUGGGAAAUUCCUGACACUGAGGUACGAAAGCGUGGGGAGCAAACAGG
rnacentral:rRNA from 1 species